UAUCACUGUUGCUUACUAACCCCUAGUACUUUCAUAGUACUUUCACUGUGUGGAGUUGAGUGUAGCCAUAUUGUCACUUUAUGUCAAAGAUGUCUAAGUUACCUUUCCUAUCUUUGAGCACUGUGCUCUCAGGAAGCCUCGUUUUCCACUGUGGAUGUUUCUCAUCAUGACUCAUCAAUUGACUGAGCAAAAUGAUGUCAACUUACAAAGUGACAACAGAAAACAGUAACUUUCUGCUUUUGCAUCUGGCGCUUGUUUUCCACAUUGCCAAGUAUAUGCACUUCUGCAUGAUGGUCCAGAGAACAUUAAAUGCCGCUAUGACAUCAGCCAGUUAACUUUAUUGUGCUGUCCUCAAAACCAUAAAUGAACUGGAUUCCAGCUGUAGACGGACCUGCAACCUUAAAUAUGCUGCUGCUUUAUGGCAGCAAAAAAGAAAAAUAUUUGAAGUAUCUGUUGAAAAUAAAUGACAAUCA
rnacentral:lncRNA from 1 species